rnacentral:rRNA from 1 species
UACGUAGGGUGCAAGCGUUGUCCGGAAUUAUUGGGCGUAAAGAGCUUGUAGGCGGUCUGUCGCGUCUGCUGUGAAAAUCCGGGGCUCAACCCCGGACUUGCAGUGGGUACGGGCAGACUAGAGUGUGGUAGGGGAGACUGGAAUUCCUGGUGUAGCGGUGAAAUGCGCAGAUAUCAGGAGGAACACCGAUGGCGAAGGCAGGUCUCUGGGCCACUACUGACGCUGAGAAGCGAAAGCAUGGGGAGCGAACAGG